GGGCAUUCAAUACAGUACCUUUUGCAUCAUGGACUAGCUAGUCUAACAAGCACAGAUUACUUUAGUUUCUCUCCAAGAAACUAUAUGAGCUACUUCAGGCUAUCAAUCAAAGGAUUAUCCACAUCUCUGUGGCAAAAGAGUAGGAAGAGCCUUAAGUAGAGACAAAACAUCUCCCGAAUAUAGUUAUAGCUGGUUACUCAAGAAAUUAAUAAAAGCUCAGCUCCACAACUCUUAACUCCACCCAUAGGACCUUAAGAACUGUAGAAGUCAUCAAAUGAGGGACAGCCCAUUUGAUACCAGAAACAACUGUUAAACGAGGAUAAAGUUCAUAAUCAAUAAUAGCAAUAUUAGAGUAAGCUUAACACCAGCCAUCCCAAAAGAAAGCGUUAAAGCUCAAAU